AUUGAACGCUGGCGGCAUGCCUUACACAUGCAAGUCGGACGGUAACAGGUUAAGCUGACGAGUGGCGAACGGGUGAGUAAUGUAUCGGAAUGUGCCCAGUCGUGGGGGAUAACUGCUCGAAAGAGCAGCUAAUACCGCAUACGAUCUACGGAUGAAAGCGGGGGAUCGCAAGACCUCGCGCGAUUGGAGCGGCCGAUAUCUGAUUAGCUAGUUGGUGGGGUAAAAGCCCAACAAGGCGACGAUCAGUAGCUGGUCUGAGAGGACGACCAGCCACACUGGGACUGAGACACGGCCCAGACUCCUACGGGAGGCAGCAGUGGGGAAUUUUGGACAAUGGGGGCAACCCUGAUCCAGCCAUGCCGCGUGCAGGAAGAAGGCCUUCGGGUUGUAAACUGCUUUUGUCAGGGAAGAAAUCCUUUGGGCUAAUACCCUGAGGGGAUGACGGUACCUGAAGAAUAAGCACCGGCUAACUACGUGCCAGCCGCCGCGGUAA
rnacentral:rRNA from 1 species